GGUUGGAGUGCAACUACAGCAGGGAGGGGACGGGGCCAGGAGGAGCCAGCAAGCUUGGGGUGGGGGGACACAGCAGGGGCUGCAGGGAGGCCGUGGCCC